rnacentral:rRNA from 1 species
UAACCUGCUAAAUAGUGGCGCGAACGUUUCGUUUGUGGCCGCUUCUUAGAGGGACUGACUACGUUUAGUGGUCGGAAGUUUGAGGCAAUAACAGGUCUGUGAUGCCCUUAGAUGUUCUGGGCUGCACGCGCGCUACACUGACAAAGGCAGCAAGUAUACAACCUUGACCGGAAGGUCUGGGCAAUCUUGUGAAACUUUGUCGUGCUGGGGAUAGACCAUUGCAAUUAUUGGUCUUUAACGAGGAAUUCCUAGUAAGCGCAAGUCAUCAGCUUGCGUUGAUUACGUCCCUGCCCUUUGUACACACCGCCCGUCGCU